rnacentral:rRNA from 1 species
AUUGAACGCUGGCGGCGGGCCUAACACAUGCAAGUCGGGCGAGCGGCGGACGGGUGAGUAAUGUAUGGGGAUCUGCCUGCUGGCGGGGGAUAACCACUGGAAACGGUAGGUAAUACCGCAUAAAAUCAGAUUAACCCAUAUGGGAUUAGCUAGUAGGUAAGGUAACGGCUUACCUAGGCUACGAGCCCUAGCUGGUCUGAGAGGAUGAUCAGCCACACUGGGACUGAGACACGGCCCAGACUCCUACGGGAGGCAGCAGUGGGGGAUAUUGCACAAUGGGCGAAAGCCUGAUGCAGCGACGCCGCGUGGGGGAUGAAGGCUUUCGGGUUGUAAACCUCUUUCGCUAUCGAACGGGUAGGUGUAGAAGAAGCGCCGGCUAACUACGUGCCAGCAGCCGCGGUAAUUC